GGGAAUUUUGGACAAUGGGCGCAAGCCUGAUCCAGCCAUUCCGCGUGCAGGACGAAGGCCUUCGGGUUGUAAACUGCUUUUGUACGGAACGAAAAGGCUCUGGCUAAUACCUGGGGCUCAUGACGGUACCGUAAGAAUAAGCACCGGCUAACUACGUGCCAGCAGCCGCGGUAAUACGUAGGGUGCAAGCGUUAAUCGGAAUUACUGGGCGUAAAGCGUGCGCAGGCGGUUAUGUAAGACAGAGGUGAAAUCCCCGGGCUCAACCUGGGAACUGCCUUUGUGACUGCAUAGCUGGAGUACGGCAGAGGGAGAUGGAAUUCCGCGUGUAGCAGUGAAAUGCGUAGAUAUGCGGAGGAACACCGAUGGCGAAGGCAAUCCCCUGGGCCUGUACUGACGCUCAUGCACGAAAGCGUGGGGAGCAAACA
rnacentral:rRNA from 1 species